UACGGGGGGGGUAAGCGUUGUUCGGAAUUACUGGGCGUAAAGGGCUCGUAGGCGGCCAACUAAGUCAGACGUGAAAUCCCUCGGCUUAACCGGGGAACUGCGUCUGAUACUGGAUGGCUUGAGUUUGGGAGAGGGAUGCGGAAUUCCAGGUGUAGCGGUGAAAUGCGUAGAUAUCUGGAGGAACACCGGUGGCGAAGGCGGCAUCCUGGGACCAACACUGACGCUGAGUGAGCGAAAGCCAGGGGAGCAAAACGGGG
rnacentral:rRNA from 1 species